GUGAACAGGGACCACCUGGUGAAGUUGGCGCUCAAGGGCUACCAGGCCCUGGUGGAUCAAGAGGCCUUCCAGGAAUAUUGGGCUCCAAAGGUGACAGGGGACCCCGUGGAAAACCUGGUGAUGUGGGACCUCGGGGAAUCCAGGGGUCACCAGGUGAUCCAGGACAGAGAGGAGUCACAGGUGAGAUCGGGCCGAAGGGAGUACAGGGUGACCAAGGACCCGUGGGAAUCAGAGGAGUGCCAGGACCAAAAGGAGAGACUG